UACGUAGGGUGCAAGCGUUGUCCGGAAUUAUUGGGCGUAAAGAGCUCGUAGGCGGCUUGUCGCGUCGAAUGUGAAAACUCGGGGCUCAACUCCGAGCUUGCAUUCGAUACGGGCAGGCUAGAGUUCGGUAGGGGAGACUGGAAUUCCUGGUGUAGCGGUGAAAUGCGCAGAUAUCAGGAGGAACACCAAUGGCGAAGGCAGCACUCUGGGACGUGACUGACGCUGAGACGCGAAAGCGUGGGGAGCAAACAGG
rnacentral:rRNA from 1 species